rnacentral:tRNA from 1 species
GCUAGUGUGGUAUAGUGGUUUGAGCACUGGACUAGGAUUCUGGAGACUGGGGUUCAAAUCCCAGUUUGGGCA